AGUGAACGCUGGCGGUAGGCCUAACACAUGCAAGUCGAACGGCAGCACAGUAAGAGCUUGCUCUUACGGGUGGCGAGUGGCGGACGGGUGAGGAAUACAUCGGAAUCUACUUUUUCGUGGGGGAUAACGUAGGGAAACUUACGCUAAUACCGCAUACGACCUACGGGUGAAAGCAGGGGAUCUUCGGACCUUGCGCGAUUGAAUGAGCCGAUGUCGGAUUAGCUAGUUGGCGGGGUAAAGGCCCACCAAGGCGACGAUCCGUAGCUGGUCUGAGAGGAUGAUCGGCCACACUGGAACUGAGACACGGUCCAGAAUCCUACGGGAGGCAGCAGUGGGGAAUAUUGGACAAUGGGCGCAAGCCUGAUCCAGCCAUACCGCGUGGGUGAAGAAGGCCUUCGGGUUGUAAAGCCCUUUUGUUGGGAAAGAAAAGCAGCAGGUUAAUACCCCGCUGUUCUGACGGUACCCAAAGAAUAAGCACCGGCUAACUUCGUG
rnacentral:rRNA from 1 species